CUCAUAUUUACUCAUCUCUCUCUAGCCUCUCUCAUCCUCUCUCUCUAGCCUCUCUCAUCCUUUCUCACUCUCUCACACCUUCCGGCGACGGUUUCCGACGGUUCACGGUUGUACCUUCCUUCUGUAAUCUUGUGGAGCUCCGUGGCAUAUUUUUUUCCCUAUUUUGGGUGGUUUCAAGCUGCAAAGGACUUGUUCAACACUGAUCACUCUGAAUCAACCAGCAGACAAACUUCACGCCGACAAAGGUGUGUUAGAGGGAAGACAUGGCCAACAUCAUUUGACAUGUUUAAACAUGACUUAGGUGGUGAAAAUUACAUCCUUGAAAUGGAUACUUGGAAUGAUGAAAAUGAAAAACAGGCGUACCAUGUAUCUGUUGUCCGAAAUGAUGGAAAACACGAUAUUGUAGUAAAGAAGAUGUCACAACAAUAUACACAAAACCCAUCAAGA